rnacentral:rRNA from 1 species
GAUUAACGCUGGCGGCGUGCCUAACACAUGCAAGUCGAACGAGGUAGCAAUACCUAGUGGCAGACGGGUGAGUAACGCGUGGUCAACCUACCGUUGAGUGGGGGAUAACUAGUCGAAAGAUUAGCUAAUACCGCAUACGAUCUACGGAUGAAAGUGGGGGACCGCAAGGCCUCAUGCUCGUGGAGCGGCCGAUAUCUGAUUAGCUAGUUGGUGGGGUAAGAGCCCACCAAGGCAACGAUCAGUAGCUGGUUUGAGAGAACGACCGGCCACACUGGGACUGAGACACGGCCCAGACUCCUACGGGAGGCAGCAGUGGGGAAUAUUGGACAAUGGGGCAACCCUGAUCCAGCAAUGCCGCGUGUGUGAAGAAGGCC